rnacentral:rRNA from 1 species
GACGAACGCUGGCGGCGUGCUUAACACAUGCAAGUCGAACGGAAAGGCCCUGCUUUUGUGGGGUGCUCGAGUGGCGAACGGGUGAGUAACACGUGAGUAACCUGCCCUUGACUUUGGGAUAACUUCAGGAAACUGGGGCUAAUACCGGAUAGGAGCUCCUGCUGCAUGGUGGGGGUUGGAAAGUUUCGGCGGUUGGGGAUGGACUCGCGGCUUAUCAGCUUGUUGGUGGGGUAGUGGCUUACCAAGGCUUUGACGGGUAGCCGGCCUGAGAGGGUGACCGGCCACAUUGGGACUGAGAUACGGCCCAGACUCCUACGGGAGGCAGCAGUGGGGAAUAUUGCACAAUGGGCGGAAGCCUGAUGCAGCAACGCCGCGUGCGAGAUGACGGCCUUCGGGUUGUAAACCGCUUUCGCCUGUGACGAAGCGUGAGUGACGGUAAUGGGUAAAGAAGCACCGGCUAACUACGUGCCAGCAGCCGCGGUGAUACGUAGGGUGCGAGCGUUGUCCGGAUUUAUUGGGCGUAAAGGGCUCGUAGGUGGUUGAUCGCGUCGGAAGUGUAAUCUUGGGGCUUAACCCUGAGCGUGCUUUCGAUACGGGUUGACUUGAGGAAGGUAGGGGAGAAUGGAAUUCCUGGUGGAGCGGUGGAAUGCGCAGAUAUCAGGAGGAACACCAGUGGCGAAGGCGGUUCUCUGGGCCUUUCCUGACGCUGAGGAGCGAAAGCGUGGGGAGCGAACAGGCUUAGAUACCCUGGUAGUCCACGCUGUAAACGGUGGGUACUAGGUGUGGGGUCCAUUCCACGGGUUCCGUGCCGUAGCUAACGCUUUAAGUACCCCGCCUGGGGAGUACGGCCGCAAGGCUAAAACUCAAAGGAAUUGACGGGGCCCCGCACAAGCGGCGGAGCAUGCGGAUUAAUUCGAUGCAACGCGUAGAACCUUACCUGGGUUUGACAUGGAUCGGGAGUGCUCAGAGAUGGGUGUGCCUCUUUUGGGGUCGGUUCACAGGUGGUGCAUGGCUGUCGUCAGCUCGUGUCGUGAGAUGUUGGGUUAAGUCCCGCAACGAGCGCAACCCUUGUUCACUGUUGCCAGCACGUUAUGGUGGGGACUCAGUGGAGACCGCCGGGGUCAACUCGGAGGAAGGUGGGGAUGACGUCAAGUCAUCAUGCCCCUUAUGUCCAGGGCUUCACGCAUGCUACAAUGGCUGGUACAGAGAGUGGCGAGCCUGUGAGGGUGAGCGAAUCUCGGAAAGCCGGUCUCAGUUCGGAUUGGGGUCUGCAACUCGACCUCAUGAAGUCGGAGUCGCUAGUAAUCGCAGAUCAGCAACGCUGCGGUGAAUACGUUCCCGGG